AUUGAUUUGGGGAAAACGGGAAACCGAAAGAAAAUGAACGAACGGUGAAGGGAUUUGAUUCGAUUCUGCAACAAUUUCAAGCACAAAUCUGGCGGUGUUUGCCCAGAUAUGUUGGUGUUGGAGGAAAGCAUGUUGGGUAGGGGAAAAAUUAGUAAUGAAGCAGAUUAUUCGUAAUUGACUCACUGUUUCUAGACAUGGUUUUGAUUUUUUACUGAAAGAUUGCUUUUUGUGUUGAUGAGAAAUACAUUGUUACAUACCUACAGUGUUGAUCUCAUUGUUGAAGGAUUGCUUUUUUUUUUUCUGAAUAAUGUUGAUUCAUAAAGGUUUAAGCUGUUCUGUAAAGG
rnacentral:lncRNA from 1 species